rnacentral:rRNA from 1 species
UACGGAGGGGGCUAGCGUUGUUCGGAAUUACUGGGCGUAAAGCGCGCGUAGGCGGACCUGCAAGUCGGGGGUGAAAGCCCGAGGCUCAACCUCGGAACUGCCUUCGAUACUGCGGGUCUCGAGUCCGGGAGAGGUGAGUGGAAUUCCUAGUGUAGAGGUGAAAUUCGUAGAUAUUAGGAAGAACACCAGUGGCGAUGGCGGCUCACUGGCCCGGUACUGACGCUGAGGCGCGAAAGCGUGGGGAGCAAACAGG